rnacentral:rRNA from 1 species
UGAUAUGGCCAUAUCACCCUGAAUGUGCCUGAUCUCAUCUGAUCUCAGAAGCAGAGCAGUGUCUAUCUGACCCGUUUAGUGUUCUCAUGGGAGAUGUACCAGUAAGACUAUGGUAGUCAUAAGCU